GAUGAACGCUGGCGGCGUGCCUAAUACAUGCAAGUCGAGCGAACAGACGAGGAGCUUGCUCCUCUGACGUUAGCGGCGGACGGGUGAGUAACACGUGGAUAACCUACCUAUAAGACUGGGAUAACUUCGGGAAACCGGAGCUAAUACCGGAUAAUAUAUUGAACCGCAUGGUUCAAUAGUGAAAGACGGUUUUGCUGUCACUUAUAGAUGGAUCCGCGCCGCAUUAGCUAGUUGGUAAGGUAACGGCUUACCAAGGCAACGAUGCGUAGCCGACCUGAGAGGGUGAUCGGCCACACUGGAACUGAGACACGGUCCAGACUCCUACGGGAGGCAGCAGUAGGGAAUCUGCCGCAAUGGGCGAAAGCCUGACGGAGCAACGCCGCGUGAGUGAUGAUGGUCUUCGGAUCGUAAAACUCUGUUAUUAGGGAAGAACAAAUGUGUAAGUAACUAUGCACGUCUUGACGGUACCUAAUCAGAAAGCCACGGCUAACUACGUG
rnacentral:rRNA from 1 species